ACGCUGGCGGCAGGCCUAACACAUGCAAGUCGAGCGGAAACGACACCAUCGAUUCUUCGGAUGCUUUAAUGGGCGUCGAGCGGCGGACGGGUGAGUAAUGCCUAGGAAAUUGCCUUGAUGUGGGGGAUAACCAUUGGAAACGAUGGCUAAUACCGCAUAAUGCCUACGGGCCAAAGAGGGGGAUCUUCGGACCUCUCGCGUCAAGAUAUGCCUAGGUGGGAUUAGCUAGUUGGUGAGGUAAUGGCUCACCAAGGCGACGAUCCCUAGCUGGUCUGAGAGGAUGAUCAGCCACACUGGAACUGAGACACGGUCCAGACUCCUACGGGAGGCAGCAGUGGGGAAUAUUGCACAAUGGGCGAAAGCCUGAUGCAGCCAUGCCGCGUGUAUGAAGAAGGCCUUCGGGUUGUAAAGUACUUUCAGUUGUGAGGAAGGGUGURWMGUUAAUAGCKKYRYMUCUUGACGUUAGCAACAGAAGAAGCACCGGCUAACUCCGUGCCAGCAGCCGCGGUAAUACGGAGGGUGCGAGCGUUAAUCGGAAUUACUGGGCGUAAAGCGCAUGCAGGUGGUUCAUUAAGUCAGAUGUGAAAGCCCGGGGCUCAACCUCGGAACUGCAUUUGAAACUGGUGAACUAGAGUGCUGUAGAGGGGGGUAGAAUUUCAGGUGUAGCGGUGAAAUGCGUAGAGAUCUGAAGGAAUACCAGUGGCGAAGGCGGCCCCCUGGACA
rnacentral:rRNA from 1 species